UCGGGAAUUUUGGGCAAUGGGCGAAAGCCUGACCCAGCAACGCCGCGUGAGGGAUGAAGUAUUUCGGUAUGUAAACCUCGAAAGAAUGGGAAGAAUAAAUGACGGUACCAUUUAUAAGCUCCGGCUAACUACGUGCCAGCAGCCGCGGUAAUACGUAGGGGGCAAGCGUUGUCCGGAUUCACUGGGUGUAAAGGGCGCGUAGGCGGGCUAGCAAGUCAGAGGUGAAAUCUCCCGGCUUAACCGGGAAACUGCCUUUGAAACUGUUAGUCUUGAGUGCGGAAGAGAGAGACGGAAUUCCAGGUGUAGCGGUGAAAUGCGUAGAUAUCUGGAGGAACACCAGUCGCGAAGGCGGUCUCUUGGUCCGUAACUGACGCUCAGGCGCGAAAGCCAGGGGAGCAAACG
rnacentral:rRNA from 1 species